ACAACAGGCUAUGUCUCAGGACUGCAUCCAGAGGAUAACAGAUCUGAAUUCUAAGAUUCAGGAAGAGAAACUAAGAAGGAGGAAGCAGAGAAUGGAGUUUGAACAGCAGCUGGAAGAGCUGAUGGAGAAGCACAAGGCUCUAUGGGAAUUACACGUGAGGGAGAAUCUAGGGUUGAAAGCAGCAGAGAAAUGGGGUGGAAAGCAUUCCAGGUCAUGGUGGGCAUGGGAACAUGACAGCAAAGGUACAGAGGCAGAAACCAACAUGAUUGGGGAGUGGUGGGGGUGGCAGUGA
rnacentral:lncRNA from 1 species